UCCUUCUUAGCUCAGCUGGUAGAGCGCGUCACUAGUAUACGAGUUAAUGACGAGGUCAGUCGUUCAAGUCGGCUAGAGGGAA